rnacentral:rRNA from 1 species
GGGGAAUAUUGCACAAUGGGGGAAACCCUGAUGCAGCGACGCCGCGUGAGCGAAGAAGUAUUUCGGUAUGUAAAGCUCUAUCAGCAGGGAAGAAAAUGACGGUACCUGACUAAGAAGCACCGGCUAAAUACGUGCCAGCAGCCGCGGUAAUACGUAUGGUGCAAGCGUUAUCCGGAUUUACUGGGUGUAAAGGGAGCGUAGACGGCUGUGUAAGUCUGAAGUGAAAGCCCGGGGCUCAACCCCGGGACUGCUUUGGAAACUAUGCAGCUAGAGUGUCGGAGAGGUAAGUGGAAUUCCCAGUGUAGCGGUGAAAUGCGUAGAUAUUGGGAGGAACACCAGUGGCGAAGGCGGCUUACUGGACGAUGACUGACGUUGAGGCUCGAAAGCGUGGGGAGCAAAC